rnacentral:rRNA from 1 species
UACGUAGGGUGCAAGCGUUAUCCGGAAUUAUUGGGCGUAAAGAGCUCGUAGGCGGUUUGUCGCGUCUGCUGUGAAAACUGGAGGCUCAACCUCGGACUUGCAGUGGGUACGGGCAGACUAGAGUGUGGUAGGGGAGACUGGAAUUCCUGGUGUAGCGGUGGAAUGCGCAGAUAUCAGGAGGAACACCGAUGGCGAAGGCAGGUCUCUGGGCCAUUACUGACACUGAGAAGCGAAAGCAUGGGGAGCGAACAGG